rnacentral:rRNA from 1 species
GAGUGAGGGUGGGCGGUCCCAGGAAACUGGAGCACUGCACAAAAACCACUCUCAUUCUUCCUUUCGGUCGCGCUAUAUCGGCCUAAUCAGCUGGUGUAGUGACGCCGGAUCGGUUACUUUGAACAAAUUAGAGUGUUUAAAGCAGGCAUUUGCCUUGAAUACGUUAGCAUGGAAUAACAAAAUUGGCUUUGAUCGUCAUUUUGUUGGUUCAGAUGAUUAAGGA